CGAGAAAGCCCGCAAGGGUGAGUAAAGCGGCGCGCGGGUGCGUAACACGUGGGUAAUCUGCCCUAGAGUCCGGAAUAACUCGCCGAAAGGCGUGCUAAUGCCGGAUGAGACCACGGGAGCCUCGGCUCCUGCGGGAAAAGGUGGCCUCUGUAUACAAGCUAUCGCUCUAGGAUGAGCCCGCGGCCCAUCAGCUAGUUGGCGGGGUAAUGGCCCACCAAGGCUACGACGGGUAGCUGGUCUGAGAGGACGAUCAGCCACACUGGAACUGAGACACGGUCCAGACUCCUACGGGAGGCAGCAGUGGGGAAUCUUGCGCAAUGGGCGAAAGCCUGACGCAGCAACGCCGCGUGUGUGAUGAAGGUCUUCGGAUCGUAAAGCACUGUCGCGAGGGACG
rnacentral:rRNA from 1 species